AAAAACAAACAAGGGCAUACGGGGAAUGCCUAGGCUCUGCAAGGCGAAGAAGGACGUGAUAAGCUGCGAAAAGCCGCGGGGAGGUGCAAAUAACCGAUAAUCCGCGGAUAUCCGAAUGGGGCAACCCACCAUAUAAAUGGUACCUCGAAACGAGGAGCGAACCCUCUGAACUGAAACAUCUAAGUAAGAGGAGGAAGAGAAAACAACAGUGAUACCGCAAGUAGUGGCGAGCGAACGCGGCACAGCCCAAACCGGACACGUUUAGGCGUAUCCGGGGUAGUAGGACUGCGAGAAACAAGUAUAAAAAGAACCGGAACGGCAUGGAAAGGCCGUCCGUAGAAGGUGAAAGACCCGUACGGGCAAUUUUUAUACGCGUUAGCAGUAUCCUGAGUAGGUCGGGGCACGAGAAACCCAGACUGAAACCGGCGGGACCACCCGCCAAGGCUAAACACUCAGCAGAGACCGAUAGUGAACAAGUACCGUGAGGGAAAGGUGAAAAGAACCUUGAAUAAAGGAGUGAAAAAGACCCUGAAACCGUAUGCCUACAAGCGGUCGGAGCCCAUUUAUUGGGUGACGGCGUGCCUUUUGCAUAAUGAUCCUACGAGUUACUGUUACCGGCAAGGUUAAGCGCUUCAGGCGCGUAAGCCGCAGCGAAAGCGAGUCUUAAAAGGGCGAAUUAGUCGGUAGUAGUAGACGCGAAACCUUGUGAUCUACCCAUGGCCAGGUUGAAGUGGGGGUAACACCCCAUGGAGGACCGAAUCGGUAAGCGUUGAAAAGCUUUCGAAUGAGCUGUGGGUAGGGGUGAAAGGCCAAUCAAACUGGGAAAUAGCUCGUACUCCCCGAAAUGCAUUUAGGUGCAGCGUCGCGGUUAAGUGAUAUAUAGGUAGAGCUACUGAUUGAAUGCGGGGGCUUCACCGCCUACCAAUUUCAGACAAACUCCGAAUAGUAUAUCACAUACGCGGCAGUGAGGGCAUGGGUGCUAAGGUCCAUGCCCGAGAGGGAAACAACCCGGACCAACAGCUAAGGUCCCCAAAUAUACGCUAAGUUGAAAAAACGAAGUAGAACUGCACAGACAGCCAGGAAGUUGGCUUGGAAGCAGCCAUUCUUUUAAAGAGUGCGUAACAGCUCACUGGUCGAGCGGUUCUGCAUGGAGAAUAAGCGGGCAUAAGCGUAUUACCGAAGCUAUGGCAGAUAACAAUCUGGGUAGGGGAGCAUUCCGUACAGCGCAGAAUCGGUAUUGUAAAGUACCGUGGAGCGUACGGAAAAGCAAAUGUAGGAAUAAGUAACGAUAAAGCGGGCGAGAAACCCGCUCACCGAAAGACCAAGGGUUCCCCGGCUAUGUUAAUCAGCCGGGGGUCAGUCGGGCCCUAAGGACAAGCCGAAAACAGGCUACUCCGAUGGACAAACGUUUAAUAUUACGUUACUCGUAUCGAGUGCGACGGGGCGACCUGGUAAUACCUCUUCGCGUGCUGACGGAAUAGCACGUUAAAGACUUUACUGGGCCGGGAGGCAAAUCCCCCGGCGGAAAGGUAAAGUUGAUAGUACACCCAAGCUACGGCGACGGUGAUAGCAAGACUAAAGAUCAGCAAGAAAAACCUCUAAGCUUCAGCUCGAUACGACCCGUACCGGAAACCGACACAGGUGGUCGAGAAGAGAAUUCUAAGGUGCUCGAGAGAUUCAUGGCUAAGGAACUAGGCAAAAUAGACCUGUAACUUCGGGAAAAAGGUCACCGCAGCAAUGCGGUCUCAGAAAAUAGGUCCAGGCGACUGUUUAACAAAAACACAGGACUUUGCAAAAUCGAAAGAUGACGUAUAAGGUCUGACACCUGCCCGGUGCUGGAAGGUUAAGAGGAGAUGUCCGCAGCAAUGCAAAGCAUUGAAUUGAAGCCCCAGUAAACGGCGGCCGUAACUAUAACGGUCCUAAGGUAGCGAAAUUCCUUGUCGGGUA
rnacentral:rRNA from 1 species